rnacentral:rRNA from 1 species
GUUUACGUCCCUGCCCUUGUACACACGCCGUCGCUACUAGAUUGAUGGCUCAGUGAGGCGUCCGGACUGGCCCAGAGAGGCGGGCAACUGCCACUCAGGGCCGGAAAGCUCUCCAAACUCGGUCAUUUAGAGGAAGUAAAAGUCGUAACAAGGUCUCCGUUGGUGAACCAGCGGAGGGAUCAUUA